rnacentral:lncRNA from 1 species
UGGCCCGCAAGCGCCGCGUGCAGCCACGGUUCCCGACAGCGCCUCUCCCUCCACACCUCCCCGCAAGCUGAGGGAGCCGGCUCCAGCCUUGACCAGCCCAGAAAAGGGCUCCCACAGUGCAGCGGCGGGCUGAAGGGCUCCUCAGGCGCCGCCAGAAUGGGCGCCGAGGCUGAGGCACCGAGAGCGAGCGUGGGCUGCGAGGGCUGCCAGUAUGCUGUCACCUCUCAGUAUGAUAGAAAAAAAGUCGAAGUCUUUUCUGUUGUCCAUGCUGGAGUGCAGUGGCACAAUUAUAGCUCACUGUGGUCUCAAACUCCUGAGUGUAAACAAUCCUCCUGUCUCAGCCUCCCAAGUAGCUGGGACUACAG